GAUGAACGCUGGCGGCGUGCCUAAUACAUGCAAGUCGAGCGAACGGACGAGAAGCUUGCUUCUCUGAUGUUAGCGGCGGACGGGUGAGUAACACGUGGAUAACCUACCUAUAAGACUGGGAUAACUUCGGGAAACCGGAGCUAAUACCGGAUAAUAUUUUGAACCGCAUGGUUCAAAAGUGAAAGACGGUCUUGCUGUCACUUAUAGAUGGAUCCGCGCUGCAUUAGCUAGUUGGUAAGGUAACGGCUUACCAAGGCAACGAUGCAUAGCCGACCUGAGAGGGUGAUCGGCCACACUGGAACUGAGACACGGUCCAGACUCCUACGGGAGGCAGCAGUAGGGAAUCUUCCGCAAUGGGCGGAAGCCUGACGGAGCAACGCCGCGUGAGUGAUGAAGGUCUUCGGAUCGUAAAACUCUGUUAUUAGGGAAGAACAUAUGUGUAAGUAACUGUGCACAUCUUGACGGCACCUAAUCAGAAAGCCACGGCUAACUACGUG
rnacentral:rRNA from 1 species